GGAAAAAGAAUAGCCCCACGCAUCCCUGAC
rnacentral:piRNA from 1 species